rnacentral:lncRNA from 1 species
UUCUUUUUGUGGUGCUGGGACUUCCAUAUAGCUGAGCAUCAAAAAUACUUGAAGAGCAUUCUACCUCUGUCAUAUGCAGUUCAUCUGAGUAAAGUGACUUAAGAGCACCAGUGCCUUUCAGCAGCCUCUUCUGCAUGAAGUGCUCAGAGGUCACUCCUAGUUCUCAUAGAGGAAGAGUGGCAAGACUGGCUGACAUUAGACUUGGCAAAUGGAACAUUUGAAGAAGGCAGACUUGAGUGAAAGUGUAUCAGAAAUCCAGAAGGUAGCCAAGGAAAAUUAAAACCUAAAGGCAAGAAAGGGAGGUUGCCAAAGGCACAGUAUUGUUUUGCUUCUUUAUAGUUUUGACCAGGCUCCUUCUGGUUGAUACUUAAAAUUAUCUUCUAUCCUGCAAGUGGAGUUUUCUGAUUAUGGUUUCACAUAGUGGUAAAAGAAGGAAAAGCCAAGUGCUUUAAAAAUCAUGGAGCCAAGUGUGGUGGUUCACACCUAUAGUCUCCAUGAUCCUAUUGCCUCACUCCACUGAAGAGUGAGGCAAUAGGAUCUCAAGUUUGAGACCAGCCUCAGCAAUUUAGCAAGACCCUCUCUCAAAAAUAAAAAAUAAAAAAUAUGGGGCUCAUUAUUUGAUUCCAUUAUCUAUUUAGAAAAAGCACUUCUGCUUUUUCUCCAAUGUGGCUAAUUUAGUAAGACCUAUUUUUCUUGAAUUCCCAGUGGCAGCUAAUUAGGAAUUGUUC